CUGUUACACCUUGAAAUGCCAGUGCAACAGGCACUCCUAACUGCUUAGAGUCAUGUGUAAAGCUCAUAUAGGGGAAAGAGAGCAAGCCUUGUUUCCUGUAGAGCAUUGUGGCUGGAGGUUGGGAGGCUGGUGUGUACUGGCAUUACUGGGACAUGUGUUCUCUCCAGAGCUGAGUCAGGAAAUGACACCAGGCUUAUGUAGUAUAAAAGCACGACCCAAGAAUGGUGUAAGCUGCAGAGCUGGGGCUGUGGAUUGGUGUCAGUGUCACAAGUGCUUCCAGGUAAUGCUGAGUCUCAGCAACUUCGUGAGAGCUGGAUGUGAUGGGCUUGUGCCACUGCAAAAGGAAAACUCCUUUCCUGGGAGUUACAGACGUGGUCCCUGCCAAGGCAGUAUAUCUCAGUGA
ensembl:lncRNA